UUGUCUAAGACUAAGCCAUGCACGUCUAGUACAAACUAAAUGAUGGUGAAACUGCAAAUGGCUCAUUACAACGGUUAUGAUGUACCCGGGAGUUCCGAUGGAUAUUUCCAGUAACACUAGAACUAAUACAUGUCCCUGCGUUUAUUAGUUUCGCACAGUCCGUCACUGAGUCAUGGUAAACAGUUGAUCGACUCGACGUCCCGGAACAGUUUCCGCCCCAUCAGCUUCGAUGGUUGGGUAUUGGCCUACCAUUGCAACAACGGGUAACGAGGAAUUAGGGUUUGAUUUCGGAGAGGGAGCCUGAGAAACGGCUACCACAUCUACGGAUGGCAGCAGGCGCGCAAAUUACCCAAUGCAGACACUGUGAGGUAGUGACGAGAAAUAAUAAAGCGGGACUUCUGUUUCGCUAUUAUAAUGAGGAAUAACCAAAGGUCAUUCCGAUUAGCAACUGAUGGGAAAGUCUGGUGCCAGCAGCCGCGGUAAUACCAGCGUCAGUAGCA
rnacentral:rRNA from 1 species